UACGUAGGGGGCAAGCGUUGUCCGGAAUCAUUGGGCGUAAAGAGCGUGUAGGCGGUCCGGUAAGUCAGCUGUGAAAGUCAAGGGCUCAACCCUUGAAUGCCGGUUGAUACUGUCGGGCUAGAGUCCGGAAGAGGCGAGUGGAAUUCCCGGUGUAGCGGUCGAAAUGCGCAGAUAUCAGGAAGAACACCUAUGGCGAAGGCAG
rnacentral:rRNA from 1 species